rnacentral:rRNA from 1 species
ACUUCAGGACGGGGACAACAGUUGGAAACGACUGCUAAUACCCGAUGUGCCGAAAGGUGAAACCUAAUUGGCCUGAAGAAGAGCUUGCGUCUGAUUAGCUAGUUGGUGGGGUAAGAGCCUACCAAGGCGACGAUCAGUAGCUGGUCUGAGGGGAUGAGCAGCCACACUGGGACUGAGACACGGCCCAGACUCCUACGGGAGGCAGCAGUGGGGAAUUUUCCGCAAUGGGCGAAAGCCUGACGGAGCAACGCCGCGUGAGGGAGGAAGGUCUUUGGAUUGUAAACCUCUUUUCUCAAGGAAGAAGUUCUGACGGUACUUGAGGAAUCAGCCUCGGCUAACUCCGUGCCAGCAGCCGCGGUAAUACGGGGGAGGCAAGCGUUAUCCGGAAUUAUUGGGCGUAAAGCGUCCGCAGGUGGUCAGCCAAGUCUGCCGUCAAAUCAGGUUGCUUAACGACCUA